rnacentral:rRNA from 1 species
UACGGGAGUGGCAAGCGUUAUCCGGAAUUAUUGGGCGUAAAGCGUCCGCAGGCGGUCUUGUAAGUCUGUCGUUAAAGCGUGGAGCUUAACUCCAUUUGAGCGAUGGAAACUGUAAGACUAGAGUGUGGUAGGGGCAGAGGGAAUUCCCGGUGUAGCGGUGAAAUGCGUAGAUAUCGGGAAGAACACCAGUGGCGAAGGCGCUCUGCUGGGCCAUAACUGACGCUCAUGGACGAAAGCCAGGGGAGCGAAAGGG